rnacentral:misc_RNA from 1 species
GAUGAAGAACGUAGCGAAAUGCGAUAAGUAAUGUGAAUUGCAGAAUUCAGUGAAUCAUCGAAUCUUUGAACGCACAUUGCGCCCCCUGGUAUUCCGGGGGGCAUGCCUGUUCGAGCGUCAUUUCACCACUCAAGCCUCGCUUGGUAUUGGGCAACGCGGUCCGCCGCGUGCCUCAAAUCGACCGGCUGGGUCUUCUGUCCCCUAAGCGUUGUGGAAACUUACGCUAAAGGGUGUUCGGGAGGCUACGCCGUAAAACAACCCCAUUUCUAAGGUUGACCUCGGAUCAGGUAGGGAUACCCGCUGAACUUAAGCAUAUCAAUAAGCGGAGGA